GGCUCUGAGGAAGAAACCACCAUUCAAGUUGGAGUGCGGUUAACAUCAAAAGGAGAACGGUGAGAAUGGAGUCUCCCCAAAAUUACUCUGAGCAUCACAGCUGCGUUAGAACAACGGUCAGCAUGCAUACAAAAGGACCUAAACCACAUUCUCCUCGUCCCGGCCGGCCGUCACCCUAGAGCAAGCACAGUUCUUCCUUCAGCUCCUCUCCUGCUCACCAUGGCUCAGCUGAAAUCAUUGCCUAUGAGAUAACCACUCACGGUUUCCCAUCACCACAGUGUUCUCAUGGCCUGCCAAACGAGAACUUGCAGGCCUAGCAUGUAAAGGGACCAGGGAAGGAGGCAGAGUGGGGCCUGCUGUUGAGGCUGGCUGCUUCUGUGUUCUCUGCCUGUGCCAGGCUGCGUAUGGUCUUCACUUGCCGUCUUUGAACUGAGAGAACCUCAGCUGUAAGUGUGUUGGUGUGCGGGAUGCUUCCCCAGAGGGAUUCGCUCUGCUCUGACAACACUUUGUCAAUCUCGGGUAAAAUGAGACCUUUCUCUUAAAGAGAAGGUUACAGCUAAUUUUCUGUAAGAGCAGUAAAGUUAAGAAGACCUUCCCUGAGGGUAGAAAAACCACAAAACCCAGGAGCAGGGACUGUCUUCUUUCUUACAGUAUUUACUAUCCCCACCCCCACCCCUGCUGCCUUGCCAUACCAGGCAUGAAGGAACUAGUCACUUAAGCAAGAAAACUGUACUCCAGAUCUUAAGAACCUCAAUUCUCACCCUUAUCAGUGUCUUUUUAAAUGAAUAAUACCGUGACCUUCAGCUUUGUCCUCCAUUAUGGGAGGUUGCUUCGCAGAGACCGCUCCACUUUCCUAAAUUAAGGCGGCUGCUGUCUGUAUUCCGCUCAGCUCUAGUGUUAGUAUUGUCCCAAGUGUGACAUUU
rnacentral:lncRNA from 1 species